rnacentral:rRNA from 1 species
UACAGAGAGGGCGAGCGUUAUUCGGAAUUAUUGGGCGUAAAGGGCGCGUAGGCGGCUUGACAAGUCCAAGGUGAAAUCCCUCGGCUCAACCGAGGAACUGCCUUGGAAACUGUCUGGCUUGAGGCCGGGAGAGGGUAGUGGAAUUCCCAGUGUAGCGGUGAAAUGCGUAGAUAUUGGGAGGAACACCGGUGGCGAAGGCGGCUACCUGGACCGGAUCUGACGCUGAUGCGCGAAAGCGUGGGGAGCAAACAGG